CGCUUCUUGGGGUAAGGGGCGCCUCCUUCAACCCCAUUUCACAUGUCUCAUCUCCGCGGAUUAGAGUUGGAGAGGGGGAUGCCCACUUGUGGGUUCUUGGUGCAAUCGAACACUGACUUGGUGAUGCGUUCCGAGACUGCGCGUGCGUCACGUUUAGAAGGAAGGGCUGUUUACCUCUUAGCUUGCUUGGAAUUUUCUCCAGCAGAAUACGCAGUCUGCAAAACCAGAAUCAAUACUUAAAUUUCUUCUAUCCCAUUGCCUGCGAAAAUUCCACUGCACACACUUUGAGCCACCUCUUUGUCGGCAUUCGGAAUUGGUUGUUGUUUGAGAGGGCAUCCUUUGCAAUUGAGUGGAACCUUUAAGGGUUUCCGGUGAUGAUCGUAUUUCAUUAAAAGAGCUUUUGGUCUGCUCUGGUUUUUAUGAGCAAAGCUGAUGAAGAGAUUAUAUCUUUUCACGAGUUUUGUAUUUGUGCCAGCAUUUGAAUGUUUGUACCCAGAAAUGAAGUACUAGCCACGUGUUUUUUCAAAAUUUACUGAGGAUGAUAUUACAAGGUAAUCUCAAGCAGAAGUAAAUUCUCAACUUCUUGUAACUUUUUAUCGAAGACUAUGCAAAGUGGCGUGCCGGCACAGGCACAU